rnacentral:rRNA from 1 species
UACGUAGGUGGCAAGCGUUGUCCGGAUUUACUGGGCGUAAAGGAUGCGUAGGCGGAUAUUUAAGCCAGAUGUGAAAUACCCGAGCUCAACUUGGGUGCUGGAUUUGAAACUGGGUAUCUAGAGUGCGGGAGAGGAGAGUGGAAUUCCUAGUGUAGCGGUGAAAUGCGUAGAGAUUAGGAAGAACACCAGUGGCGAAGGCGACUCUCUGGACCGUAACUGACGCUGAGGCAUGAAAGCGUGGGGAGCAAACAGG